GACGAACGCUGGCGGCGUGCUUAACACAUGCAAGUCGAACGGAAAGGCCCCUUUGGGGGUACUCGAGUGGCGAACGGGUGAGUAACACGUGAGUAACCUGCCCUUGACUUCGGGAUAACUUCAGGAAACUGGGGCUAAUACCGGAUAGGAAUCCUUGCUGCAUGGUGGGGGUUGGAAAGCUUCGGCGGUUUUGGAUGGACUCGCGGCUUAUCAGCUUGUUGGUGGGGUAGUGGCUUACCAAGGCUUUGACGGGUAGCCGGCCUGAGAGGGGGACCGGCCACAUUGGGACUGAGAUACGGCCCAGACUCCUACGGGAGGCAGCAGUGGGGAAUAUUGCACAAUGGGCGGAAGCCUGAUGCAGCAACGCCGCGUGCGGGAUGACGGCCUUCGGGUUGUAAACCGCUUUCAGCAGGGGCGAAGCUUGUGGUGACGGUACCUGCAGAAGAAGCACCGGCUAACUACGUG
rnacentral:rRNA from 1 species